CCGGCUUUGCGCAUGCUCUGUAAGCUCUCCUUGCUCCCUAGGGGAUCCUAGCUACGCCCCAAAUCCGUUACUCCGGGUUUUCGCGGUGGUUUGGUGGCCUACUGUGAUUGAACUAGACGAACCUUUGCAGGAAAUCUCCCCGGGGAAUGGCGGGGGAUGGGGUGGGGAGACCUAUGAGUUUAGUAGCACCUGGCAGACGCACGAAAGCACGAAUGGAUUUCAUCCUCGCUGAUAUAUUUAAUAGCAUGUGAUCGAUCACGCACCAAGGGACCUAAGCCCGUCUUAGCAAACACACUGCGUGUAAAGAACAGAUGUCGAUGUCCUUUCGUUUGUUUGUUUCUACUUUAAAUGGCUAACGUGGCUGCUCCUAAAAUUAUUUUUUAACUUCUUAAUGUACACAGAAGACAUUGGAAAAUGUACGUGUUAGGACAGCAAGGGCAGCCAAAACAAAAAGAAAAAUCUACAAGAACAACUUUUGAAGCCGGUACCUAAGAUUUUGCAUUUCUACAGAGUCCCAAGAGAUGCUGAUAACUGCUGCUCUAAGCACCACAUUUUUACUAGCAAGGUCCUGGGUCAGGUGACUUUACAGAUGCAAGACAAAUAAGAGACUGAGGCCAAAUAGAAUAGGUAACCAAACUGGUUACCCACUCCAGCCAUCACCCCUCUCCCCGACAGGUAUAGCUGGGAAUCUGGAAGGGCCACCACUCCCAGUGGAAGAACUUGUGGGGGUGGAAAAUUUCUCCUACGAAAACGGAAACUUGAGGAAACUUGACUGACUCAAAUUUUCUUUGAUUUGAAAAUAGUUAAAACUUUUAAUGAAAAUUCCCAGCAAAAGCACUCAUACGAAUUCCAGACACGGAUGCCUAUCACCUGGGUGACUCAUUCCCACAAAAACCAGCCGUCUAAAAUGAGACACCAGCUGCCAUUUCUCCAAGGUGUCAGAAGUUCAGAGGAAGUAGAUGUUGGAAAAAGAGCCCAUGAGGAAAGAGCGAAAGUUGAAAACCACAAAAGAAAUGAAACCUACACCCUCCAGAAUCUCUUCCCUGUGUUUUCCUUUUGCUCAUCUGUCAUGGUCUUAAAUCAAUAUCCUUUAACAGACUGUUUCAUAAGUUUAUGUGAGAAAGUGAAAAUGUUUUUAUUCAUUUAUUUAUUGAAUAUUCAUUGAACUAACAUGUACCACGAAUGUAACAUUUUAAGUAAACUUAAUGAUAAAAAGAUGUUUUUCAACAGCAUUAAAAAUAUAAAAUACCUGGGA
rnacentral:lncRNA from 1 species